rnacentral:rRNA from 1 species
AUACGGAGGGAGCAAGCGUUAUUCGGAAUCACUGGGCGUAAAGGACGCGUAGGCGGGUUUGUAAGUCAGGUGUGAAAUCCUACAGCUCAACUGUAGAACUGCACUUGAAACUACAGACCUAGAGUAUGGAAGGGGCAGAUGGAAUUAGUGGUGUAGGGGUAAAAUCCGUAGAUAUCACUAGGAAUACCGAAAGCGAAGGCGAUCUGCUGGGACAUUACUGACGCUAAGGCGUGAAAGCGUGGGGAGCAAACAGGAUUAGAAACCCGUGUAGUCC